ensembl:lncRNA
UUCCUGCACAAAUUAAAAUGACCCCCGAAGGCAUAAAGCACACAAGCUUUAUUGGGCAACAGCGACGGCGCAGGCUGGCAGACAAUGAAAGGAGAACCACUCAGAAACACGCGGGAUCACAUGUGUGUCAUCACAGGAUCGAGAAUUUAAAUCAUCUGGGAAUUCCUGCUAAAUUAAAGCAUACUGCACCACAGCUUUCCUCUAAUCAAAACGCGCUGGCCUGGGGAACAUUUGCAGCGAGGAUGACAUAGAAAGAGAUCCACUAACGAGGAAGUCAUGGAAGCCUGGAUGGGUUUACAGUCAGCCCCAGUGCAACAAAGUAACAAAUUAGCCACGAUUUUUUUGCAAAUACCACGCCCCCAACAUGCCCCCCACAAACCCAGUAUUUACUGACAUCGCCCAGCGACAUUAACAGCCGGUGCCUCCAACCACGCUGGGAUGGGGAGACAGACCCACAGGUAGGCGACGCGACUUCCGCAUGCGAAGAUGCUACGGGACUCAAGGUGUCAGCAUCGCUCACACAGUGGUAUGCUUUUCAAUUCCCUUCAGAAACAUAAUACAUAUUUUUUCCAGGAUGAACUGGACAUAAUUAAUGGAAAUAUUUCCUAAGAAGCGCAUAUAAAUGACAAAAAGCUUUACAUUAAAAGGGGGGGGAGAAAUAAAAUCUGUCGUAUUUACAAAGCUCCUGGUAUAUUUUUUAAAGAAAACAAAGCCAGGAGUGAUAGGAUUUUAAUGCAAUGAAAACCAAAUAUCUCUUCAAAAAACUUGAGAUGACAUCAUACCCUCACACACACACAUUUCAAACACACAAAAAAGGUCAAAGAUAAAAAUGGCUGACAGGUGUUUGCCUUAAAUAGGAUGGAGCUGAGGAACACACAGGUCCCACCUGCAAUUUUGGCAAAGAUUUAAAAUGCUGCCCCAUAAAGGCGUGAAGGCGUUCCCGUCCCCACCCCCGUAAAAACAAAACAAAGGAUAAAAACAAAAGUCUAGAGGAAGAAAAACAGGCAGGAUCGUGUCAAUUUUCAAUGAGCACAAAACCCAAAAUACAUUCAAAAGUGUUGUCAGUAUAAGCUAAAUUUUCAGCAGAAAACAUACUGGGGAAAGGGCAAGCAGACGGCGGCAUUUAAUACACUGCUACAAAAAGGGAAGCGAGUCAGGAUCUGGAUAUAAUAAUGCUCAAAGUGGGAGGAGUCCCAGCUCUCGGCCUCCUGGCCCCAGGGGGCUGUAAACAGGUGGUCCACGCCAAUGUCAGGAUGCUCCCUGGGACGCCCCCCUCGCAGCCCUGCGGCACGGUCCCCUGCCCCAGGCAGCCCUGUCGGCUCAGCCAGCCCCACCUAGCACCAUAGGCGACACCCACGUGCAUGCUCGCAAAAUUCGAAUCAAAGCUGUCGGAUAUAAGAGAUUAAUGAAGACGGAGAAGCUUGUCCGGUCAUUUUCUUACAGAAAGGAAGGAAGGAAGGAAGCGAAAAAAGAGAAACCAGACAGAUCCCACUCUCCCCACGCACACACAACCAUCAUCAAAAGACAGCAUAAAAAUAACCAUAAAAGAAUAAAAGUGCUGACUCUGACAGAAAUACCUAGUGUUGUCGGAGGACAGGAGGAGUCGUAAUCUUUAAGGAAAAGGGUUUAAACAGUGCU